UACAUAUCUGUAGAUCACCUUUUUUAGGUUCUCGAUGAAUUCCACAUCCAACUCUUGAUCGGUAAACCAGGGGCCUCCUGUAAGCUCUGUACUAGGAACUAAAUCAUAUAGCAUGUAUAUUUUUCGAGUCGGAUUUUUUACACUCUUAAUAGACUUGACGAGAUUUUUUGACUCGAGCGACUUCAGACAUCUAUCAACAACAGAAACAUGCAAGUUAGUCCUUAGUGUUAAGGUUUUCCUCCAUAUUCCCUCGUUGCCAGAAUUCUUGAUAAAACUGUACACGAUUUGUUCAUCGCCCUCCAUGGUAGAAACACUAAAAAGAAGAAUGUUAGCAUUGACAAAACAAAAAUCAUGAUUAAAAUUGGCGUAAAAACUUUAUAUUAUACUACAAUAAGAGAUCAAGAAAUGCAUUGAGUUUCUGACAUUUAAAACUUGAUCAACAACGAAAAGCUUAAACAGUUAAACUUUUCGGUGAGUACCGACUUACGUUUUAGCUUCAUCCAAUCGAACAGCCCGAUAUACGAGAACAUUUCCUUGCCGCAAAGGAUCCAAAAGUCGCCGACUUAGAAGGAUAUUUAAAGCACUACUAAGAUCGUUCACGGAUAUCGAAGCGCCAAUCGCUUCUACUAAAUCCUGUUGUGAAAGCGAAUUUGGGAUCUGUUUUAAGCAAUGCUCGUAUAUAACUUUGGCAUUCUUAGGAAGAGUACGCAGUUGGUCGGCCAUGUUGAAAGUGAAAGAUAAAAGUUUUCUGUUGAGGGUUUAACCACGUUUGCCCGCAGUAUUUUUGGGCGUUGUAUGGUAUUCCAAUAUACCCAAUAUACUAUAAUAAAUUAUUUUAAACUAAAAAUGAAAAGAAGAGACAAAAAUUUUCAACUUUUACGAGGCUCUCCUCAUCAACCAAAAACCACCUCGGUUGGAGUGGC